rnacentral:tRNA from 1 species
GUGGUUGUAGCUCAGUGGUUGAGCGCUUGCUUAGCAUGUGUGAAGCACUGGGUUCUAUCCUCAGCACCACA